rnacentral:lncRNA from 1 species
CUCGCUAGUUGCCAAGGCUGGUCUCAAACUCCUGGACUCAAGCGAUCCUCCUGCCUCGGCCUCCCAAAAUGCUGGGAUUACAGGUGUGAGCCACUGUACCUGGCCUCCCUUUGUGCUCUUGAUCUCAGGGUCUUCUCUGGGCUCUCCAUGUACCAGUUACCUCCGAUGGGUGAAGGUCGGGUUGGGGCAUCCCCGGGGAGCACCACUUUUGCACUCGGCAGGCUGUUUCCCAGCGCUCCAUCUGCUCCGUCCCACAGCAGACCGAUCCAUGAGCAGCUCCCUCUCAGCCUCUCAGCUCCACACGGUCAACAUGCGGGACCCUCUGAACCGAGUCCUGGCCAACCUGUUCCUGCUCAUCUCCUCCAUCCUGGGGUCUCGCACCGCUGGCCCCCACACCCAGUUCGUGCAGUGGUUCAUGGAGGAGUGUGUGGACUGCCUGGAGCAGGGUGGCCGUGGCAGCGUCCUGCAGUUCAUGCCCUUCACCACCGUGAGUACCACCUUCCCGGCUCUCCUGCUGGUGCUGGGGCCUCGGGGCAGCCCUUAGAGCAGGGAGGGGCCUCCUUCCCCCUGGGACAGCACACCCACCACCAGCCGUCCCGCAAGCAGCAUCUGUCUGUCCGUGGCAGGUGUCGGAACUGGUGAAGGUGUCAGCCAUGUCCAGCCCCAAGGUGGUUCUGGCCAUCACGGACCUCAGCCUGCCCCUGGGCCGCCAGGUGGCUGCUAAAGCCAUUGCUGCACUCUGAGGGGCUUGGCAUGGCCGCAGUGGGGGCUGGGGACUGGCGCAGCCCCAGGCGCCUCCAAGGGAAGCAGUGAGGAAAGAUGA